rnacentral:rRNA from 1 species
AAUGAACGCUGGCGGUAGGCCUAACACAUGCAAGUCGAACGGCAGCACAGUAAGAGCUUGCUCUUACGGGUGGCGAGUGGCGGACGGGUGAGGAAUACAUCGGAAUCUACUUUUUCGUGGGGGAUAACGUAGGGAAACUUACGCUAAUACCGCAUACGACCUACGGGUGAAAGCAGGGGAUCUUCGGACCUUGCGCGAUUGAAUGAGCCGAUGUCGGAUUAGCUAGUUGGCGGGGUAAAGGCCCACCAAGGCGACGAUCCGUAGCUGGUCUGAGAGGAUGAUCAGCCACACUGGAACUGAGACACGGUCCAGACGCCUACGGGAGGCAGCAGUGGGGAAUAUUGGACAAUGGGCGCAAGCCUGAUCCAGCCAGACCGCGUGGGUGAAGAAGGCCUUCGGGUUGUAAAGACCUUUUGUUGGGAAAGAAAAGCGGCAGGUUAAUACCCCGCUGUUCUGACGGUACCCAAAGAAUAAGCACCGGCUAACUUCGUG